CGGGGCAGGGUGGAAUUCCCGACCGGCAGUGAAAGCCUGCGAGCCGCAUAUGCGGUUGACUCGGUGAAAUUCCGAGGCCGACGGUAAAAGUCCGGAUGGGAG
rnacentral:ncRNA from 18 species